rnacentral:rRNA from 1 species
UACGAAGGGGGCUAGCGUUGUUCGGAAUCACUGGGCGUAAAGGGCGCGUAGGCGGCUUUAUAAGUCGGGGGUGAAAGCCUGUGGCUCAACCACAGAAUUGCCUUCGAUACUGUAGAGCUUGAGACCGGAAGAGGUUAGUGGAACUGCGAGUGUAGAGGUGAAAUUCGUAGAUAUUCGCAAGAACACCAGUGGCGAAGGCGGCUGACUGGUCCGGUUCUGACGCUGAGGCGCGAAAAGCGUGGGGAGCAAACAGG